rnacentral:rRNA from 1 species
CCUACGGGAGGCUGCAGUGAGGAAUAUUGGUCAAUGGACGGAAGUCUGAACCAGCCAAGUAGCGUGCAGGAUGACUGCCCUAUGGGUUGUAAACUGCUUUUAUAUGGGAAUAAAGUGUUCCACGUGUGGGAUUUUGUAUGUACCAUAUGAAUAAGGAUCGGCUAACUCCGUGCCAGCAGCCGCGGUAAUACGGAGGAUCCGAGCGUUAUCCGGAUUUAUUGGGUUUAAAGGGAGCGUAGGUGGAUUGUUAAGUGAGUUGUGAAAGUUUGCGGCUCAACCGUAGAAUUGCAGUUGAAACUGGCAGGCUUGAGUACAGUAGAGGCGGGCGGAAUUCGUGGUGUAGCGGUGAAAUGCUUAGAUAUGACGAAGAACCCCGAUUGCGAAGGCAGCUUACUGGAGUGCAACUGACGCUGAGGCUCGAAAGUGUGGGUAUCAAACAGGAUUAGAUACCCUUGUAGUC